rnacentral:rRNA from 1 species
GACGAGCGCUGGCGGCGUGCUUAACACAUGCAAGUCGAACGGUAAGGCCCUUCGGGGUACACGAGUGGCGAACGGGUGAGUAACACGUGGGUGAUCUGCCCUGCACUUCGGGAUAAGCCUGGGAACCUGGGUCUAAUACCGGAUAGGACCUAUGCCUACGUGGGCGGUGGUGGCAAGCUUUUGCGGUGUGGGCUGGGCCCGCGGCCUAUCAGCUUAUUGGGGGGGUAAUGGCCUACCAAGGCGACGACGGGUAGCCGGCCUGAGAUGGUGACCGGCCACACUGGUACUGAGAUACGGCCCAGACUCCUACGGGGGGCAGCAGUGGGGAGUAUUGUACAAUGGGCGCAAGCCUGAUGCAGCGACGCCGCGUGAGGGAUGACGGCCUUCGGGUUGUAAACCUCUUUCAGUAGGGACGAAGCGCAAGUGACGGUACCUACAGAAGAAGGACCGGCCAACUACGUGCCAGCAGCCGCCGUAA